CAGUAGCCGCGGGAAAACGUAGGGUGCAAGCGUUAAUCGGAAUUACUGGGCGUAAAGCGUGCGCAGGCGGUUAUAUAAGACAGAUGUGAAAUCCCCGGGCUCAACCUGGGAACUGCAUUUGUGACUGUAUAGCUAGAGUACGGCAGAGGGGGAUGGAAUUCCGCGUGUAGCAGUGAAAUGCGUAGAUAUGCGGAGGAACACCGAUGGCGAAGGCAAUCCCCUGGGCCUGUACUGACGCUCAUGCACGAAAGCGUGGGGAGCAAACAGGAUUAGAUACCCGUGUAGUCCCUGUCUCUUAUAC
rnacentral:rRNA from 1 species